GCGGACGUGGUGGAACUGGUAGACACAAGGGACUUAAAAUCCCUCGCUCCCAUGAGCAUGCGGGUUCGAUUCCCGCCGUCCGCACCA
rnacentral:tRNA from 1 species